rnacentral:rRNA from 1 species
UUCCGGUUGAUCCUGCCGGACCUGACUGCUAUCGGAUUGAUACUAAGCCAUGCGAGUCUUUGCAGUAAUGCAAGGCAUACGGCUCAGUAACACGUAGUCAACUUACCCUAUGGACGAGGAUAAUCUCGGGAAACUGAGCAUAAUACUCGAUAGAUCAUAAUGCCUGGAAUGGUUUAUGGUUGAAAUGAUUCGUCGCCAUAGGAUGGGACUGCGGCCUAUCAGCUUGUUGGUGAGGUAAUGGCCCACCAAGGCGAUUACAGGUACGGGCUCUGAGAGGAGAAGCCCGGAGAUGGGUACUGAGACAAGGACCCAGGCCCUAUGGGGCGCAGCAGGCGAGAAAACUUUGCAAUGUGCGAAAGCACGACAAGGUUAAUCCGAGUGAUUUCUGCUAAAGAAAUCUUUUGCAAGUCAUAACACCACUAGUGAAUAAGGGGUGGGCAAGUUCUGGUGUCAGCCGCCGCGGUAAAACCAGCACCUCAAGUGGUCAGGAGGAUUAUUGGGCCUAAAGCAUCCGUAGCCGGCUCUGUAAGUUUUCGGUUAAAUCUAUGUGCUCAACGCAUAGGCUGCCGAAAAUACUGCAUAGCUAGGGAGUGGGAGAGGUAGACGGUACUCGGUAGGAAGGGGUAAAAUCCUUUGAUCUAUUGAUGACCACCUGUGGCGAAGGCGGUCUACCAGAACACGUUCGACGGUGAGGGAUGAAAGCUGGGGGAGCAAACCGGAUUAGAUACCCGGGUAGUCCCAGCUGUAAACGAUGCAGACUCGAUGAUGCAUUGGCAUAUAGCCAGUGCAGUGUCGCAGGGAAGCCGUUAAGUCUGCCGCCUGGGAAGUACGUACGCAAGUAUGAAACUUAAAGGAAUUGGCGGGGGAGCACCACAAGGGGUGAAGCCUGCGGUUCAAUUGGAGUCAACGCCGGG